GGAAUAGGGUUCUGGUCAACAGUAGUGUACUAUAUAGGAAAUAGGGCUCUGGUCUAUAGUAGUGUACUAUAUAGGGAAUAGGGCUCUGGUCAACAGUAGUGCACUAUAUAGGGAAUAGGGCUCUGGUCAACAGUAGUGUAUUAUAUAGGGAAUAGGGCUCUGGUCAACAGUAGUGUACUAUAUAGGGAAUAGGGCUCUGGUCUAUAGUAGUGUACUAUAUAGGGAAUAGGGCUCUGGUCAACAGUAGUGCACUAUAUAGGGAAUAGGGCUCUGGUCAACAGUAGUGUAUUAUAUAGGGAAUAGGGCUCUGGUCAACAGUAGUGUAUUAUAUAGGGAAUAGGGCUCUGGUCUAUAGUAGCGUACUAUAUAGGGAAUAGGGCUCUGGUCAACAGUAGUGUACUAUAUAGGGAAUAGGGCUCUGGUCAACAGUAGUGUACUAUAUAGGGAAUAGGGCUCUGGUCAACAGUAGUGUAUUAUAUAGGGAAUAGGGCUCUGGUCUAUAGUAGUGCACUAUAUAGGGAAUAGGGCUCUGGUCAACAGUAGUGCACUAUAUAGGGAAUAGGGUGCUAUUUGAAGAUGCAUUCGGACAUGUAGCUGAGUAGAUGCUCCUCAUCAACAAGUCAUUGCUGAUAUGACAACUAGAUCCUGUUUGGCUGUGUGUCUAUGGCACCCUCUACCCUACUUAAUACACUCAUAGGGACUCUGGCCAAUGGUAGUGCACUGCGUAGAGAAUAUGGUGCCAUUUUGGGAAACAAGAGACUAGAUCCCGUUGUCUUGGUAAUGGUUGCUUGUCUCCGACUCCUACUUAUGGAGAAAGCUAUAUGGAUGUCUGUGAGGACUGUAGGAGAAGGUCGUGCAUUUCUAAAGAUGAGAGAGAGUCUGGUAUUAUUUUUUGCAAUAUAGACCUACAAACUAAGAGCCAUGCUUUUCAUUUUCUUCAAUAUCUCAUCUAGAGAUGGUUUGUAUUGAUUGGUUGCUCUUGCCUCUCUUUCACUCUGUAUGUGCUUUGUCAUUAUUGCUAUUUAUGUUGAAUGUAUUUGCUAUAAACUCAUUCAACUUUAUUUUUUUUAACCAAAAAACAUAAUUCAUGUUCAUAAAUAGACCAAGGCUGGUCUGGGUCUAUCCAGGGCUAGUCUGGAUCUGUCCAAAGCUGGUUUGGGUCUGUCCAGGGCUGGUCUGGGUCUAUCCAGGGAUGGUCUAGGUCUGUCCAGGGAUGGUCUGGGUCUGUCCAUAGAUGUAUAGUUUUCAGACCCCAUCUAAGAAAGUAAAAAUACUCCUUCUUACUUUGCAGAGAAUGGCAGGAGCCCUGCUUGUGUGAAAAGUUAAGAGAAGGUGUAGAGAAGUUAAGAGCUGGUGUAGAGAAGUUAAGAGAAGUUAAGAGAAGGUGUAGAGAAGUUAAGAGAAGGUGUAGAGAAGUUAAGAGAAGGUGUAGAGAAGUUAAGAGAAGGUGUAGAGAAGUUAAGAGAAGGUGUAGAGAAGUUAAGAGAAGUUAAGAGAAGGUGUAGAGAAGUUAAGAGAAGGUGUAGAGAAGUUAAGAGCGUACAAAAAAUGCAUUAUCUUUUACAAGAUCUAAUGUGUUAUAUUAUCCUACAUUCAUUUCACAUUCAUUCACAUUUCCACAAACUUCAAAGUGUUUCCUUUCAAAUGGUGCCAAGAAUAUGCAUAUCCUUGCUUCAGGUCCUGAGCUACAGGCAGUUAGAUUGGGGUAUGCCAUUUUUGGCUAAAAUUGACAAAAAUGUGCGGAUCCGUAAGAGGUUGAGGAAGGUGUGUUCUUCUGUAUGUCCUGAAUACCUUCUGAGGAAACAAGCCGUGUCAUUAUUACAGACACAGUUGUUACUUUAGAUACCCUACUUUUCUCCCCCUGAAACAACUGUUCGUCUCUCUUAUUAAAAACAUGGUUAAACACAGUUCUCAGGGAUAGAAUUGUGGUUCCCAGGCACACAGGUUUGAUACAGCUUGUACCACUGUGUGAUCAACAUAAUUACAGUCAGGUUAGAGUUAACUGUCUCUCUCUCUCUCUCUCUCUCUCUCUCUCUCUCUCUCUCUCUCUCUUUUGCUCUCUGUCUAUCUCUCUCUGUCGCUGUCUCUCUGUGUCUCUGUGUCUCUCUGUCUCUCUGUCUCUCUCUUUUGCUCUCUCUCUCUCUCUCUCUCUGUCUCUGUCGGUCUCUGAGUCUCUGUGUCUCUCUUUCUCUCUGUCUCUGUCGUUGUCUCUCUGUGUCUCUCUGUGUCUCUCUCUCUGUCUGUCUCUGUCGGUCUCUGUGUCUCUGUGUCUCUCUUUCUCUCUGUCUCUGUCGCUGUCUCUCUCUCACACUAUCUCUCUCUCCUUUCUAUCCCUUUCUUUCUUUCUCUCUCGCUCUUCCCUCAUAUAAGCUCUAAGAACACUGCAGUUGGGGCACAGAUCACCCAUUCUAUCAUUUUCACUUCAGUUCACUUCAGUGAGGAAGGAGAGGUGGAGAGAGGGAGGUGGAGAGAGGGAGGUGGAGAGAGGCAGGUGGAGAGAGGGAGGUGGAGAGAUGCAGGUGGAG
ensembl:lncRNA